rnacentral:rRNA from 1 species
AUACGGAGGCGGCUAGCGUUGUUCGGAUUUACUGGGCGUAAAGCGCGCGUAGGCGGGCUGGUUAGUUGGGGGUGAAAUCCCAGGGCUUAACCCUGGAACUGCCCUCAAUACUGCCAGUCUUGAGUUCGAGAGAGGUAAGUGGAAUUCCUAGUGUAGAGGUGAAAUUCGUAGAUAUUAGGAAGAACACCAGUGGCGAAGGCGGCUUACUGGCUCGAUACUGACGCUGAGGCGCGAAAGCGUGGGGAGCAAACAGGAUUAGAUACCCCAGUAGUCC